GUUUUUAUAUUAUAUAUUUUAUUUCUUUAUUUUUAGCUUAAAGGUAUGUUUUUAGAAGUUUAAGUGGUCCAUUUAGCUUUUGUUUGAGGGAAACAAUUUUUUUUUUUUUUUUUGCAUGGGGAAGGAUAGGUUCAUUUUGCAUUUUAGGAAAGGGAAGUUCAUUUGGUAUUUUGAGGAUUCCAUUUUUAACAUUGAGAAAAUUUUUCUAGAAGAAGUUAAGUGGUACUUUUU
rnacentral:lncRNA from 1 species